rnacentral:lncRNA from 1 species
CAUAUGUUGAGAAUGUUACCAGCAAUUGUCUAGAUGAGCAUGAAAAGGCACUUUCUCAUUUGAUAGAACCAUCAGUCACGUCAGUAAUCAUACAUUGGGUUGUCUCUUCUAAAAUGCUAUAAUUUAAGUGACAGUAUACUAUAGCGGAGUUGAAAUAAAAUUUGAGCUUUGAUAAUAAUCUAGACAAUUCUCAUUUAAGCAGGUGAUGUUUCACAUCCUCCUUCUUAAUCUACUGUCUAUUUGGAGACCAUUUCCAACCACCAAGAGUAACAAGUGUCUCUGGUCUGAGUUGAUUUUCGUACAGGGUGAGCGGUAGGAGCCUAAUUUCAUUCCUCUGUAUAUGGAUAUCCAGUUUUCCCAGCACCAUUUAUUG